UACGUAGGUGGCGAGCGUUAUCCGGAAUUAUUGGGCGUAAAGAGCGCGCAGGUGGUUGAUUAAGUCUGAUGUGAAAGCCCACGGCUUAACCGUGGAGGGUCAUUGGAAACUGGUCGACUUGAGUGCAGAAGAGGGAAGUGGAAUUCCAUGUGUAGCGGUGAAAUGCGUAGAGAUAUGGAGGAACACCAGUGGCGAAGGCGGCUUCCUGGUCUGUAACUAACACUGAGGCGCGAAAGCGUGGGGAGCAAACAGGAUUAGAUACCCU
rnacentral:rRNA from 1 species